GGAGGCUUAGCUCAGCUGGGAGAGCAUCUGCCUUACAAGCAGAGGGUCAGCGGUUCGAUCCCGUUAGCCUCCA
rfam:Paenibacillus selenitireducens strain ES3-24 ES3-24_scaffold2, whole genome shotgun sequence.